rnacentral:rRNA from 1 species
GAAAUUUUGACAGAUCCCUUCGGGGUGAAGACAAAAUGGAUUAGCGGCGGACGGGUGAGUAACACGUGAGUAACCUGCCUUAGACAUUGGGAUAGCCUCGGGAAACCGGGAUUAAUACCGAAUAAAAUCAUAGGUGCACAUGCACUAAUGAUCAAAACUCCGGUGGUCUAAGAUGGACUCGCGUCCCAUUAGCUAGUUGGUAGGGUAACGGCCUACCAAGGCGACGAUGGGUAGCCGGCCUGAGAGGGUGAACGGCCACAUUGGAACUGAGAAACGGUCCAAACUCCUACGGGAGGCAGCAGUGGGGAAUAUUGCACAAUGGAGGGAACUCUGAUGCAGCGACGCCGCGUGAACGAAGAAGGCUUUCGAGUCGUAAAGUUCUUUUAUAUGGGAAG